CUUAAAGGUUGUAACAAGGUAUCCGUUGGUGAACUAGUGGAGGGAUCAUUG
rnacentral:rRNA from 1 species